rnacentral:rRNA from 1 species
AUCGAACGCUGGCGGCAUGCUUUACACAUGCAAGUCGAACGGCAGCGCGGGCUUCGGCCUGGCGGCGAGUGGCGAACGGGUGAGUAAUAUAUCGGAACGUACCCAAGAGUGGGGGAUAACGUAGCGAAAGUUACGCUAAUACCGCAUACGAUCUAAGGAUGAAAGCAGGGGAUCGCAAGACCUUGUGCUCCUGGAGCGGC